rnacentral:lncRNA from 12 species
AUGCAGGGAGCCCGAUGCCCUCUAUCCAGGGUCUCCAGGACCACGCCCUGGACCGAAGACGGCGCUAAACCGCUGAGCCACCCGGGCCGCCCUCUGGUUCUGCUCUUAACCAAACAUGAAACAGAAAUAUUAGACCGAAACAAAUCUGGAAUCUUUGAACAAGAAAGUUGUCUCAAAGCUGACAUAUUUACAAAUAUGGGCACUAAAUAUUUCCCUUGGGCUAAGAGAGUGCCGAAUGAAAGAUAAAGACAAAGAAUAUUACAGAAAAACCUGAAAGAUGCUGAUGAAUGAAAAAUAUUAGAGGAAAGAAAUGGGAAAAAGGACCAAGUAUGGUGGUUGUCAUCAUGGAAAACAGUUGCUGUAGAGGAGGACCUCUGAUUCUUCUACUAUCAGGCCAAAUCUGGAAAAACAGCAAUCAUCUCAUCUUCCUCUUCUCCCAUUUAUUCCAUCUUUCCAUUGACUCCACCCCUGAACACACACAUAAAGAUAUUUCUGAGAAGGAAUAUAUGGUUCAUGUCAUUUCAUGAAAAUAUGUUCUUUGUAUGUUCCUCUAAGCCUCUUCCUGCUUCACCCUCCUCUCUAUAGCUCUCACUUGAAAUCAAAGUAUAGGGACAAAUCCCAAGGAGGAGGAUGCUGAAAACAUGAAGAUGGAAACAAGUAAAAAACACAGUAGUUAAAAACAAGGUUGAAAGCCAAUAUGCCUCAGUCUAGGGCAAUUUACAAUGAAUUAAAAUUCUCUCACAAAAAGAUCUACUGCAAGUUGUCUCUGAGCACUCCAUUUUGUCCUUGACUGGAGUUUCUUCUCUAUGGAAGAGGAGAGUGAGAGGCUGGACUACAGCUAUCUUCAAGAGUUUCCCAAAGUAUAUUUUAUUAAGUAAAUUUAUUAGUAUAAUAUACUUUAAUAUAUUUAUAUUAUAUUUACUAUUAAGAUAAGAUGUGGAGGAAAAGUUUCCGUGUUUCAAAAUCUUUGGGACACUUUGAAACAUGCUUCAAAUAAUAUAUCUAGUUUGUGGAGAUUAAUAUUAUAUGCUAUUGAGAUGCUAGUUCAUCACUGAAAACCAAGGUAGAAUCUAGGUAUUUCUUUAAAACAUAUUUUAGAAAAUGAUGAUCCUGCAAUGAUAGAAUUCCCAUGUAUGCCUAAUCAAUUACCCCAAAAUUUAGUGGUAUAACAACCAUUUAUCAUGUUCUCAAAUUUUCUGGGUCAGGAUUUCAGACAGCAUAUCAGCAAUGACUUGCUUCUGUUUCAUGAUAUCUAGGAUCUCAGUUGAAAGAAUUAACACCUAGGGACUGGAAUCAUCUUAAGACUCAUUUACUCAUAUGUCUAAUGAUUAAUACUGUAGGUAGGCUAAAACUUCAGCUGGUGCUGCUUCCCAGAAUUCCUAUUCAUUGUUUUUCCAUAUAAUCUGUGCCUUCUCACCACAUGAGGAUUGAGUUCCUAAAGAAGGCAUCCUGGGAGAGCCAAGGGUAAACCAUACCGACUUUUAUGACCUAGCCUUGGAAGUUAUGUGGUAUCACUUCUGUUAUGUUCUAUUCAUCAAGGUGGUCACAAUCUGCUGGUUCAAGAUGGAAAGAAAAUGAUAGAUGGUGACAAGGUUCUAGGAGAGCAUGUGGGAUUAGAAAUAUUGAUGUGAGGGCAGCCCAAGUGGCUCAGCGAUUUAGCGCCACCUUCAGCCCAGGGCCUGAUCCUGGAGACCCAAGAUGGAGUCCCACGUGGCUCUUCCUGCAUGGAGCCUGCUUCUCCCUCUGCUUGCGUCUCUGCCUCUGUGUGUGUGUGUGUGUGUGUGUGUAUCUCAUUAAUAAAUAAAUAAAAUGUAUUUUUAAAAUAUUGAUG